rnacentral:tRNA from 1 species
GCCUGGAUACCUCAGUUGGUUAGAGCAUGGUGCUGAUGGUGCCAAAGUUGCAGGUUUGAUCCCUGUUUGGGACA